CUUGAUUAUUUAGACUGGCGAAAAAUUCCAAAGCAUCGGUUGGAGGAGGCAUGGAAACUUGUUAUUACACGAUUCAUAAUCUCCGAUCAACACCAAGAUUUUGUGAUGCAAAUGAUGGGAGCUACAUGGAGGCGAUGGAGGACCCAAGUUAAAGCUACGUCUUAUGACUCGAAUAUCCCAUUAAGGGACCUUGUGUCCAUUCGUCCUAUUCCUCAUGGCCUGGCUACAGAAGUCUGGGAAAGAUUAUGUGAGCACUGGAAGGUUACUGAGAAAAGUUCAAAAAUAAAUCGAGAAAAUGG